rnacentral:misc_RNA from 1 species
UGAACCAUUCUGAAGAGAGUUAAUGGGAGUAGGAGUAUGUUGAACAUGUCCCUCUCACUUUCAUCUUUGCUCAUGAAGAAUGUGUAUAUGCUGUGACACGCAAAUGGUGCCAAUACCAAGUACUUCAUCAUCCCAACAAAUCAUUUUUGAAAAAUAAAAAAUGUUAGCACAAGUGACGUUGUAAUAUGUACGUGGUACGUUUACUAUAGAGUUGCGCUAAUUAGUGAUAUCUUUUUGCCAUAAA